rnacentral:snRNA from 1 species
UGAUUACAAAGCUAAUAUCCACUAGGGUCAAUUUGAAACGAUACAGAGAAGAUGUAAGUCGAGACUGCGAAGGUCGUGCGUUCGAAUCUCCUCCGUCCGGUUACUGACAACCCUCCAGUAGCAUGGCCCCUGCACUAAGGAUGACACGCGUAAGUUCUAAGUAGAAACACUAUUAU